AAGAGAGUGAACAAAAACAAAAAAACAGUUUGCAAAAAUAAAUACACAAUAUAAAUACCAGACAUACUAAUCAAUACUGGUUUACCUGGCUACUACUUUCCUCUCAUUCCUGAUGUCUGUCAUCCUGUUACUCCUCUUCCCCGAGU